UAGCGGCGGACGGGUGAGUAACGCGUGGGAAACCUGCCUUGUAGAGGGGGAUAGCCUCGGGAAACCGGGAUUAAUACCCCAUGAAGCUCUAGUAUCGCAUGAUACAUGAGUCAAAACUCCGGUGCUACAAGAUGGUCCCGCGUCCCAUUAGCUAGUUGGUGAGGUAAAAGCUUACCAAGGCGACGAUGGGUAGCCGACCUGAGAGGGUGAUCGGCCACACUGGGACUGAGACACGGCCCAGACUCCUACGGGAGGCAGCAGUGGGGAAUAUUGCGCAAUGGGGGAAACCCUGACGCAGCAACGCCGCGUGAGUGAAGAAGGCUUUCGGGUCGUAAAACUCUGUCUUAAGGGAUGAAUAAUGACAGUACCUUAAGAGGAAGCCCCGGCUAACUACGUGCCAGCAGCCGCGGUAAUACGUAGGGGGCAAGCGUUGUCCGGAAUUACUGGGCGUAAAGGACGCGUAGGCGGCAUUUUAAGUCAGAUGUGAAAGUCCACGGCUCAACC
rnacentral:rRNA from 1 species